UACGUAGGGGGCAAGCGUUGUCCGGAAUUAUUGGGCGUAAAGCGCGCGUAGGCGGUCCUAUAAGUCGGCUGUGAAAGUCAGGGGCUCAACCCUUGAAAGCCGGCCGAUACUGUCGGACUAGAGUCCGGAAGAGGCAAGUGGAAUUCCCGGUGUAGCGGUGAAAUGCGCAGAUAUCGGGAGGAACACCAAUGGCGAAGGCAGCACUCUGGGACGUGACUGACGCUGAGACGCGAAAGCGUGGGGAGCAAACAGG
rnacentral:rRNA from 1 species